rnacentral:tRNA from 1 species
GAGGGUGCAGCUCAGUGGUAGAGUGUGUGUUUAACAUGCACAAGAUCCUGGGUUCAAUUCCAAAUAACUCCA